rnacentral:rRNA from 1 species
GCCAUGCGAGUCACAUAGCAAUAUGUGGCAUACGGCUCAGUAACACGUAGUCAACAUGCCCAGGGGACGUGGAUAACCUCGGGAAACUGAGGAUAAACCACGAUAGGUCAUCACUUCUGGAAUGGGUAAUGACUUAAAUCUACAUGGCCCCUGGAUUGGACUGCGGCCGAUCAGGCUGUUGGUGAGGUAAUGGCCCACCAAACCUGUAACCGGUACGGGCUCUGAGAGGAGGAGCCCGGAGAUGGGCACUGAGACAAGGGCCCAGGCCCUAUGGGGCGCAGCAGGCGCGAAACCUCUGCAAUAGGCGAAAGCUUGACAGGGUUACUCUGAGUGAUUUCCGUUAAGGAGAUCUUUUGGCACCUCUAAAAAUGGUGCAGAAUAAGGGGUGGGCAAGUCUGGUGUCAGCCGCCGCGGUAAUACCAGCACCCCGAGUGGUCGGGACGUUUAUUGGGCCUAAAGCAUCCGUAGCCGGUUCUACAAGUCUUCCGUUAAAUCCACCUGCUUAACAGAUGGGCUGCGGAGGAUACUAUAGAGCUAGGAGGCGGGAGAGGCAAGCGGUACUUAGUGGGUAGGGGUAAAAUCCGUUGAUCCAUUGAAGACCACCAGUGGCGAAGGCGGCUUGCCAGAACGCACUCGACGGUGAGGGAUGAAAGCUGGGGGAGCAAACCGGAUUAGAUACCCGGGUAGUCCCAGCUGUAAACGAUGCAGACUCGGUGAUGAAUAGGCUUCGUGCCUAUUCAGUGCCGCAGGGAAGCCGUUAAGUCUGCCGCCUGGGGAGUACGGUCGCAAGACUGAAACUUAA